rnacentral:tRNA from 1 species
GCCGAGAUGGUGGAACUGGCAGACACGCAUGGCUAAGGACCAUGUGCCCGAAAGGGCUUGGGGGUUCGAGUCCCCCUCUCGGCACCA